rnacentral:lncRNA from 1 species
GGAGUUUUGCUGCUGAAAGUCAAUGCGAGAGGAGUGAGAGGUGUCCAUGACCCAAACUUGGAGGAGGACAAGUGAAUGCAUCUCAUAAAGGAGAAGGCUGGGAAGCCAAGGCGGAGAAGGACAUGUGAGACUGGGCAGGCUUCAGCUGUCAUCUGUGGGAAGUGGCUUUUGGUUGACCAGCGGUACUUCCCAGAAGAACACGCAGGAGAGAAGUAGGAGAGGCUGCCGUGGAAGAAGAAGAAUAUGCAGGAGAGAGAAGGAGAGCUGCCAUGUGCUAAAGGGCCAAGAGAACGUGGCCCAGAGGGCUGCUCAGUUGGGUCAAGAGCAGCCAAGAUGGAACAUAGAAACUAGUGCCUUGCUGAAGUGCCCGCUCUGAAUGAAGAAGAACUGGGUCCUGCAGUCUGUCCACAGGAAGAAGACUGUCUGUGAGCACAGUCUCCAUG